ACCUGCAUUCAAAAGUGAUCUUGGUUUGUCUGUCCUGCCCAUUGGUAAUUCAGGGAGAGCAGUUGCUGAAAGCACUUCCCCAUGUUUGGACGGUCUGCUCCUGUCCCUUCCAAACUCUGGAGCUUUCCUACA